rnacentral:lncRNA from 1 species
GUUAAGUAGAUGAUCUAGUAUGCUACUUGAACUUUAAGGGGGGCCUUAACUGUCUUAACUUAAAAUAGUAAGUGUGUGAAAAUUGUAGGCAACUUUAUGUAGAUAUAUGCCUGCCAGAUAAUAUCACUCUUUCCUUCUCACACAUAUUCUAACUGGGCAGCAUGCCUCCAACUGUGUUCCACCCUGCAAGGCCUGGGCUCCCCAUGUUAAGAUUAGUUCUCUAAUUUGGCAGCUUAAAACAACACAAAUGUAUUAUCUUACAGUUCUGGAGGUUAGAGUUCCAGAAUGAAUUUCACUGGGCUAAAAUCAAGGUGCGGGUAGGGCUGGGGUUUUUUUUGUUGUUGUUGUUGUUGGUUUUUUUUUUUUUUUUUUUUUUUUUUUUUUUUUUUUUUUUUUUGAGGCUUUAGAAGAUAAUCCACUUAUUUGCCUCUUUCAGCCUCUGGAGGACCCUUCAUCGCUUGGCUUAUGGCCCUCUUCAUCCAUCUUCAAAGCCAGGAACAUUGCAUUUACCUGAACAUUCUUCUAUAGUCUCAUCUCCCUCUAGCCAUAGCCGAGAAAUGUUCUUCACUUUGAAGAAACCAUAUGGGUUGAAUUGUGGCCCCUCAAAAGCUGUGACAGGUCGGUGGCGGAGUAUUUUUCACUUCAGAAGCCAAGAACUUUUGCUAGAAUAUGAAGGCCAGAGCAGCUGGGCUUUAAUGCUAGAUUCUGCACAGGGAAGACAAAGGAAAAAACAGGAUGAAGUAUAUGUCAGAAUGCUGAGGAUGUGUUCCCAUGAGUUUCUCCCUCCUUGUACCCCACCGAAUGGAAUGUUAAAAAUACGGAGAAAGCAAUUUAUGCAGAUGAAGUCCCAACUCUGGCCAUGGCCAAUAUUAGCUGGAUAAUUCUUUGAAUCUGGCUAAUGUGGAAUCUUGCAAGGACAAAGAGGAUUUGCUCAUGAACUGGUAAGAGAGGUACUGGUCAUGCAUGCUUAAAUGUGCUAAUAGUUCUGGUCUUUAAUGGUACCGACUUAAUGAAGAUGAUGUUAUGCAUUUUUAAUUGUUCGCCUAUGAUUCGACAUUAGCCAUGCCUUUCUAAUAUGAAGAUUUGUUGGCCAGAACUGACAUUAGCUGAAAGUGGAUCCUUAACUUGUCAGUUCCUCCCACAUCUUCCUUGCCUUUGUUUUCCCUAGUGCCUUUCAACUGAAUUGAUGAGCCCUAUUUGCAGACCCAGAUCACCCCCUAACCCUUUCCUAAAUCAAUGUUUAAAAUGGCAGAAAAUAUAUCAACAACCUCAGACUAAUUUAACAGGGCUUGAAACACUGAGCCGGGAGUGAGCUUUGUGCGUUCAUUACACCCCUGAAUUGCAGUGCUCCUCGCCCCCUUUCUAGGUUACUUUUGCUCUGUUCUCCCACUGUGCAGUUUGGUAAUUUGGCCUUGUUUCCCUCUAGGACUAACUCCCCAUGCAGAACCUUGCCUAACUCCUGCCAAACUUUUCUUCCUAGACUCUGCCCUAGCCCAUUUCUUUGAUACCUUAUCAGUUGGCAAGAUAUGGACAUAUCAUGAUGAUGAUGCACACUGUGCUUCACUUCUGGGUUGAAACCUUUCUGGAAGUUCUUGUUACUGAGUUGGCUCUCCUCCCUCUGACUAUUAUUUGAGGCUAUAAACACUGCUCUAGGCAUUCCCAACUGUCCUGGCUGAGAUCCUGCUCUGCAAACUGUGGUCAGAUUCCCUCAAAACCUAUUCUAGUUAAUGGGUCUUUGCUUGGUCCAACUUCCUCUCCCCUCAUGCAUUGUGGCUGAAUCCAUCUAUGAUUUGUCUUUGUAGUUGAUGUGAGGGCUUCUGCAAAAAGCUCUAUCUCCAAAGUCUCCAUCUGUGAU